GAUGAAGAACGCAGCGAAAUGCGAUAAGUAAUGUGAAUUGCAGGAUUCAGUGAAUCAUCGAAUCUUUGAACGCACAUUGCGCCCGCCAGUAUUCUGGCGGGCAUGCCUGUUCGAGCGUCAUUUCAACCAUCAAGCCCCCCGGCUUGUGUUGGGGACCUGCGGCUGCCGCAGGCCCUGAAAAGCAGUGGCGGGCUCGCUGUCACACCGAGCGUAGUAGAUCUCAUCUCGCUCAGGGCGUGCUGCGGGUUCCGGCCGUUAAACCACCUUCAUAACCCAAGGUUGACCUCGGAUCAGGUAGGAAGACCCGCUGAACUUAAGCAUAUCAAUAAGCGGAGGA
rnacentral:misc_RNA from 1 species